CCAGGCCUGAAGCCAGGGGGCAGGUCUGUGUUCCCUAAUAAGGAGAGCUUGUAAGUCCCUCCUCUUAAGCUUAAGUGACUUUGAGCUAGUUUUCUGUCACCAACAAUCUGAUGUACUGGCUUAUAUGCCUCAACCCACAAUAGACUCUGAGGGUCCCCACAGGCCCUAUUUAAUUAUUUCCUUAAUGGUUGAUCAUUUUGUCUGUAAAGAUCUUCAAAUGAGAUCGUCUAAUUAAUUGGCAACAGACCCCCAGAAGAUCACCAUUCAUCACCCUUGAAAACAGCCUCACUAUCUAGUGCUGGGAUUAAUAUAUUUAGUGUUGCAUCAUGAAUGAAUUCAUAGGUGUAGCGAUGUUAUCUUGUUACUAUCUGUUUUUUCUUAGGUGAAAAAUUUAGGGAGGAGAUAAUGAGAUAAUUUUUAUGAAAGCUAACUGUCUGACUUUAGGGGAAAGUCCACCAAAAUUUUUUUGACCUUAAUAUUAGGCAUUCCUAAAGCCUCAAUACAGAUCUGUAUGCAGAAUGGAGGGAUAGUUAUGUCCAGGCAGAAAUGUUGUGGUGUCAAGAGCAUACCCAGGUCACUUAAAGUAGUGCAAAUGAUCUGAUCCCUAUCAUUUGUUUGCCAUGUCCACCUGCCUGACGAACCAUGGUGGCAUCAACCAAAUGCUGUAGAGAUCCUUAAUUCCCCUCAGCCUGCAAAACCAGAAGCUGAGCUUGGAGUAUGUGAAAGAGAGAAAUUUGGAGCAUGCUUAUAAGAAAAUCUAGAAAUUACCAAAUACAUCAUUUUCAACAUAUAUGUGCCAAGCAUCACGAAGGCGAAGACAUCUCCAUCUUCUGUCAGUAGCAUUGUGAAUUGGUUAUCUCAUAGGCAAGUACCUAAUUUGAGUCACAUUCUCAACAAACAUCCUAAAAGACUGGAAGCUGGUCUCAGCAGCAAGUGGCGCACAACGUGAGGCACGAAGGAAGGGUCGCCAAAGAAUGACAGUGGAGUUUCAGCGGUGCGGAACCUGGAAGCGGUGUGAGGCCUCAGAAAAUUCCCCGUGUGGUCCUCAGAUGCAUGAGAUAAACCUUCUGAGAAGUGACUAAGAGAGAAACUGCCCAGACCACCUACCUCCUCUUACAAAAACAAAAAGGGGGAAAUGCUGAAGAAGAUCAUAGCAGCAUUCUUGCUAGGUUUUAAGCCUAAGGAAAACUAAAUUCCAAAUGGGUGACUGGGGGGGAUAUGUGAUCUGCUGAUUCUCAUAAUCAUUAUACCAUAUUGCUUGUGCUUUGGACUGUCAGGCCGGAAGGGAAUAUGUUAUCGGGUAUGAAGGCAAGGGGCUUAGGAACGCCGGACCCUUGCAGGAACAGAAUGCGGC
rnacentral:lncRNA from 1 species